GGGCUGUCAGUGGCGCUGAUCGAGAGGAGGAAUCCCUUCCAUUCCAAACGUCUCAGUGUGUUGUUCCCAGAGCCACAGUCGUUUGUCGGCGUAUACUAAAGCAGAAGUAUGACCUCCUUCUCGAUUGCCCCGGUCUUUGGUGGAGCUAUUCACAGAUGUGGGGGUGAUGACGCACGUAGGACACGAGCCACUGAAAAGCCCAGGAAUCCCUCUGGCAGACCCACUAUUUCAUAUUCUUCCCUGCUGGGACUUCUCUCCAUUAGCACCUCUGUGUAGGGACGUCUCCAUCCAUCUCUGAAAAGCGGAGAUGCGUCAACUUAGGAGCAGUGGUUUUUCCAGUGGUUGUCCUGUAAUUCCCCUUCUGCUCCUAAACCCUCUGAAAAACGUUUUGCAGCCAUUAUUUCUUUGACAAUAUCCAGGCCGGCAGGCUGUAGGACUCACCUGUGCUAGACGUUAUAUUAUACAUCAUAGCGAAAGGGUGGUCCUUUUGAGGGCAACAGGCUUGCAAGUGCUAGCAUGACAUGAAAACAAGAUGUUUUACAAGAGCUGAUGCUUGACAUGUAGAUGUGGUAGGAAGGGAAAUUACAGGACAGUAAGGAUGUCUUAGAAGCUCCAGUCUACCCAAGGGCUCUUCUAGAUCCUGCCAGCCCUGAAGAGCGACACUGCAGUCCCCACGGUGGCUCAGUAUGGCUAAGAGCUGCCUUGGAAUAGCUGUCCUGAAGGUUUAUUUUCUUAUUUUUUCCCUCCUGCAGUUUUUGUGACCAGAUUCGUACAAAAUGCAGUAUUUGAUAGCAGCUCACACACAAUCUUCCACGUAUAGCUGACUUGCGUGUUGGCUAUUCAGUUGGCUUCUUUGCCCGGCAAGUAAUAAAGCGGUGCUGCAAAGGACAAGUGGCUAUGAGGAAGUAAUCAAAGCACCAGGCUCUCUGCAACUGUGUCAGCUUUACAGCCCGACUUUAUAGCCCUUGCCUUCUGCAGCAGCAAGAGCACAAGGCGCAGGUGUGCAAACAUCAGCUCAGGCAGCAGAGCAUAAGGAGUGGAAAUGAACUUUGGUCACUUGCUGGCACACUGCAUCAGAAACACCUGUCCCGCCUCCGCAACCCAAUGUUUGGUAUAAGCCAGGAGGUCUCAGAGCUGAUGCUCUGACAACCGACGCAGAGGGGUGAAACGUGUGAGCAAGCUGAAAGGCUGCUGCCCAGAUCCAGAACUUCAGCUACAGGGGGAAUUAUACAUCCAGUGAAAGAUGGGACAGAGAGAUGGAUUUAGGUUCCAGAUGAUGCGUUUGUGGAAGCUCUGAAUGUGGCACUGCCUCUUUAAGUCAAAAACAUCCACAUAUCCCUUCCCUGGGACAAAACGUCUUUGUCCCUGUGCAUGAAACAUGUUAUGGUUCAAAUUCCUGCAGAGCCACUAGAAAAAGCAAAGAGCAUGAGUCUGACAGCGUGGGCCUGCCUGCAAUGUGAUCAUUAAUCAUGCUGGAUAUUAAUAACAACGUCUCUUCUUGGUUGGAACAUUCGAUUUUUUUCUUUUUUUUUUCAUAAAUAAACACUAUGAGUGGUUCUAAAUAUC
ensembl:lncRNA